GAUGAAGAACGCAGCGAAAUGCGAUAAGUAAUGUGAAUUGCAGAAUUCAGUGAAUCAUCGAAUCUUUGAACGCGCAUUGCGCCCGCCAGUAUUCUGGCGGGCAUGCCUGUUCGAGCGUCAUUACAACCCUCAAGCCCCCCGGCUUGGUGUUGGGGACCGGCCACCGGUGCCCUGCUGCUUCCGCGGCAGGCGCACCCGGCCGCCCCCGAAAUGAAUUGGCGGCCCCGUCGCGGCCUCCCUCUGCGUAGUAGCACACAUCUCGCAGCUGGAGCGCGGCGCGGCCACUGCCGUAAAACGCACCAACUUUUUUUACAGUUGACCUCGAAUCAGGUAGGAAUACCCGCUGAACUUAAGCAUAUCAUAAGCGGAGGA
rnacentral:misc_RNA from 1 species